rnacentral:rRNA from 1 species
AUGUAUACCUCACCUCCAUGGGUCAUCGUCUCCAGUUCUCCAACAAGAUCAGUCCAUCUAUUAAUGGCGAUGGUGGCAGCAGGCGGAGGAGGAGGUGUACUGGGCGAGUGGGGCUGGUGGCUGGGCCUCGUUUUCGGUGCCGCCCCGCUGCUCUGCCUCGCCGUCUGGAACGCCACCGACGCCUGGUACCGCGCUGCCUUCUUCCUCAAACACGGCAGCCAGCGCCGCCUCCCACCGGGCCACAUGGGCCUGCCCUUCCUCGGCGAGACGCUCUCUCUGAUCUGGCACUUCAAGCUCGCGCGCCGUCCUGACGAGUUCAUCGCCGCCAAGAGGCGUGCGCACGGCGGCGCCGGGGCCGGCCUCUACCGCACGCACCUCUUCGGCUCCCCCGCUGUCAUCGCCUGUUCGCCGGCCGCCAACAAGUUCGUUCUUCAGUCCCCCGACAACUUCGGUGCGCGGUGGCCCGUGCCGGAGCUUGUGGGCAUCACGUCCGUGGUGAACGUUGAGGGUGCCACCCAUGCCAGGCUCCGCGGGUUCAUCACCGCAGCCAUCAACCGGCCGAGCUCGCUUCGGACCAUCGCCGCCGUCAUGCAGCCCCGCAUCAUGGUGGCGCUGGCCUCUUGGGCCGACAUGGGGACCAUCGUCGCUGCCACCGAGAUCAAGAAUGUGACGUUCGCCAACAUCUGCAAGAUGUUCAUUAGCAUGGAGCCUUCUCCAUUGACGGAGAAGAUCGACAAGUUGUUCCGUGACUUGGUUGCUGGCCUUAGGUCAUUCCCCUUGGAUUUUCCAGGGACAACAUUUCAUAGUGCUCGCAAGUGUCGUCGGAAGCUAAACGCUAUCUUUCGAGAGGAGCUGGAGGCGAGGAAGAAGGUGGGCAGGGAGUGUGAUGAUCUCAUGGGUGGGCUGAUGCACAUGGAGGACGAGCAGGGGAGGAAGUUGAGGGACGAGGAGGUGGUGGACAACAUCGUCUCCCUCGUCAUCGCUGGAUACGAGUCUACCGCCAGCGCCAUCAUGUGGGCUACCUACCACCUCGCCAAAUCCCCCGUCGCCCUAGCCAAGCUCCGGGAGGAGAAUAUGGCGGUGAGCAAAAGCAAAGGGGCAUCGUCAAUGAUCACCCAUGACGACCUCCCGAAUAUGAAGUACACCGCGAAGGUAGUGGAGGAGACAAUUCGGAUGGCUAACAUAUCGCCGAUGUUGCACCGUGUGGCGAACAGGGAUGUGGAUCACAAUGGGUACACGAUACCGGCGGGUUGGUCGGUGGUAGUGUGGGUGAGGUCGCUGCACACUGAUCCCGGCAAUUACGAGAACCCCCUCACCUUCAACCCUGACAGAUGGGAUGAGCCAGCAAAGCCAGGGACGUACCUUGUGUUCGGAGGCGGCUACAGGAUCUGUGCUGGCAACAUGCUCGCUAGGUUGCAGCUCACCAUCAUGCUUCAUCAUCUCUCCAUUGGCUAUGAAUGGGAGUUGCUGAACCCUGAUGCAGAGAUUGAUUACCUCCCAAACCCAAGGCCAGCGGAUGGUGCAGUCAUGUCCUUCCGUAAGCUUAGCACCUGA